UAGGAGUUUUUUAACAACCUCCCAAAAAGAAGAAAACUAACUACAGAAGAAGAGCAAGAUGUUUCGAGAAUUUUAACUAUGCAUGGAAACAAGUGGCUAAUAAAAGAUCAAAUACUAAAAGAAACAGCAAGACCCGAUCUUGAAAUUAAAGCAGAUAAGAGCGGAGUAUUAAAUGGCAUUUUUUAUCAAGAUGCUGA